rnacentral:rRNA from 1 species
UACGUAGGUGGCAAGCGUUGUCCGGAAUUAUUGGGCGUAAAGCGCGCGCAGGCGGUCCUUUAAGUCUGAUGUGAAAGCCCACGGCUCAACCGUGGAGGGUCAUUGGAAACUGGGGGGACUUGAGUGCAGAAGAGAAGAGUGGAAUUCCACGUGUAGCGGUGAAAUGCGUAGAAAUGUGGAGGAACACCAGUGGCGAAGGCGACUCUUUGGUCUGUAACUGACGCUGAGGCGCGAAAGCGUGGGGAGCAAACAGG